GUGAGUCAUCGAAUCUUUGAACGCACAUUGCGCCUCCCGCGAGGGAGGCAUGCCUGUCUGAGCGUCGUUUAAACCCCUAGGCCCCCAUCCUUCCCGGCUGGGCGGUCUGUCUUGGGCCCCGCCCCGUGGCGUCGCCUGAAUGUCAUUGGUCUCAUCCGUGGACGAGUCCCCAUAGGGCGGGCCGCGGCUGGACCUUAAACGAACUCUGAAUUUGACCUCAGAUCAGGUAGGAACACCGCCUGAACUUAAGCAUAUCAAUAAGCGGAGGA
rnacentral:misc_RNA from 1 species